rnacentral:rRNA from 1 species
UACGUAGGGUGCGAGCGUUGUCCGGAAUUACUGGGCGUAAAGAGUUCGUAGGCGGUUUGUCACGUCGUUUGUGAAAACUCACAGCUCAACUGUGAGCCUGCAGGCGAUACGGGCAGACUUGAGUACUGCAGGGGAGACUGGAAUUCCUGGUGUAGCGGUGAAAUGACGCAGAUAUCAGGAGGAACACCGGUGGCGAAGGCGGGGUCUCUGGGCAGUAAACUGACGCUGGAGG